GAGGCGAAGCUCCACGGAGCUGGGUCCUGUCCGCCCGUCCGCGGGCCAAGGCAGGACCGAGAACCUGAAACGCGGACUACGCUCGUAGACGCCCACUGGAUAGGCUCUCGGACGCGGGUUCGAGUCCCGCCGCCUCCACCA
rnacentral:tRNA from 1 species